CCCCCGCAGCAUGUUACCCCUCCCAUACUUGACUAUAUAUUACUGUUCUUCUUUUCCGCUGUAUAUAGUUAAAUUGCACAUGUUUAUUUGGUAGUCUGGUCAUAGCCUCGUCACUACUUCGCCGAGGUUAGGCUAGGCACUUACCAGUACAUGGGGUCAGUUGUGCUGAUACUACACUUUGCACUGUGUGCAGAUCCCAGAGCAGCAGCUUUUGGAUCGUAGAUUGGGUGGCUGCCUUCAGUCCAUGCGGAGAUCCAAGGUAGUCCUACAGGCGUCCGCAGGCCCUGGCGUCUCCCUCUAUCCCUUUACUCCUGUUUCAUUUACUUAGUUUAGAAAUAAUGUAUCUUUUAUCUUUCAGACUUUGUAUCUAGUAUUCUUAGAUAGUCCGCGAAACUGUGACACCAGUUCUGGGUCGUCAAGGCUCAAAUAGUUGUACUAGAUACAUAUUUCAGAUAGUUUACUGCAUUUCUUCCGCUUAUUGUAAUUUCCGCUAUCUACACGUUAUUGCUUUAUAAUUGUUAAAGAAUAUAAAAUUUGUAAAAAGGUAAUUUGUUCAAACAGUCGGCUUGUCUAGCUCGCAUUAGUAGGCUCCAUCAUGACUCCCGGGGGUGAAAAAUCUGGGUCGUGACACUUUUGCUGCAAAAUGCCAAAACAGAUGAAUUGUCCCUUGUUCCCAUUCUUUGGUUUUACCCAAAUACUAACAAACAAAACUUAAAACCUUUUCAAGACAAACACUUAUUCCCAUUAUUUGCAAGAUUUCAUCUAAGUUAAAUUUCCAGGAAAAGAACGACCAUGGAUAAAAUAAUUCAAAAGCCAAACUUACUGCUUGAAAAGUUAGGCCAGCUUCUACCUAAACCCAAAUGAACUUAAAAGCUUCAUUCUCAUAAGAUACUAUAUGACUCAUUAACAAAUAAAUUAGCUCCUAAUUAUCAAUUGGCACACAUGAGUUUUCUCUUCUAAAUCUAAAACCCACUACGUACCAGAAAUUAACAACUUAGGCAACAAACCAGUAAAACUCAACAAUAGGAUGGAACAAAAAUUAGUAAGAAAAUUAUUCUAAUCUCAUAAAUCACAUAAAGACAAAAUCAUAUAUCCAUGAACUUAGUAUUCAAUUAAAGUACAUCGGAAGAAAGGAACCUCAAUGGUGGUUGCCGAGAAGAAUAAUGAACAAAGGAGCGAAGACUGUCGAACCGGACCUUGGAGCGGCGACCUCGAAGCCUACCGGAAAAACUCGAAACUCGAUGGGGGUUCGGUGUUGAAACGCAGCGGACUUUUUGGGGGGGUUUAAUGGGUGGCCGAAAAAUGGACCUCUUAAAACGACUGUCGGCUAUUUUUGAGUGUCUCCUUUGUUUUUCAAAUUCAUAUGAAGAAACUAAAAUAAAAAACAUAAAAUCUUGGUUCUGUUUUCUUAUGGGAAUGAAGGCUAAAAAUUAGCAAAGAAAUAAUGGAACAAAACUCCCGAAAAGAUAUGGAAAUCUCCCGAAAAUCCCUCAUUUAAUUGUGAUUGUGUGCAUUUCUGAUUUUCUCACGUCCCUCCGCUUUUUCGUUUUUCAACCUCCCCUGUAUGUUGCUUUGUUUUUCGUCCCCCACAGAUCCCUUUCUCUCUCGUUUUUUACUAGGUCUCCCUUCCCCCGUUUCUUUCUGUUCUCUUUUCUAUUUAUGUGUGUGUUUGUUUGUAUUAAGAGUGAAGAAGGCAAUGUUCAGGGGGGUGGAGUCAUGUGUCCAGCGGCGGAUUCUUAGAGUGUCUAGGUCUA
rnacentral:lncRNA from 1 species